rnacentral:rRNA from 1 species
CCCUACGGGGGGCAGCAGUGAGGAAUAUUGGUCAAUGGGCGAGAGCCUGAACCAGCCAAGUCGCGUGAGGGAAGACGGUCCUAUGGAUUGUAAACCUCUUUUGCCGGGGAGCAAAAAGCGGUACGUGUACCGCAUCGAGAGUACCCGGAGAAAAAGCAUCGGCUAACUCCGUGCCAGCAGCCGCGGUAAUACGGAGGAUGCGAGCGUUAUCCGGAUUUAUUGGGUUUAAAGGGUGCGUAGGCGGGACGGUAAGUCAGCGGUAAAAAUGCGGAGCUCAACUCCGUCGAGCCGUUGAAACUGCCGUU